GGAAGCAGUUUGAACGGAGGAACGCGCUCCUGGCUCUGUUUUACUAUUGUUCUUUUGCAGGCUUGGCCCCCGACUUGUAAGAUGAGCUUCCAGGCGUCGUUUGAAAUCCCUUGGGUUUGCCUGCCGAUACGGCCUAUUCUGGGUGCGGGGUCCUUUAAAAGAAACAGGCACCGGAGUCGGGUUCUGUCUGACAAAGUCAGUCGUCUUUUUGAUGAUCUCAGGCCUUCUUCUGAGCUCUACGAGUCAGCACACCGACAGCAGAAGAAACUGAGGCUCAAAACUUUAAAUACGUGCAGUCACCCAGGUGGUAAAUGAUAGAUGUAUUCAGGUUCUCAAGUCUUCUUCUCACAGAGGAGGGUCACUGCCUCUCUCAACCUAGCCAUUAUUCAUCUUGGUCACUGUCACCCCUUUAUGGUUGGGUCACCGCCCAGGGUCUUUAAUAUCAGAGCAGAGCUAACAGUGACAAGUAAAUUAUAGUGACUAGCAACAUUUAUCAACUUUGCAAUUAAAGUCUUUACAUAUAUUCAAGUCUCUAUUGCCUACCAUAAGGAGGAACAGAGAUGGUCCUGUUUAACAAACCCCAGUUUAAAACAAAAUAGAAAAAAGAAACCACUUGAUUUUUAACAUCGUCUGGUUAGGAAAUAUAAAUACGUGUUGUCAUAGUUACUAUAAAAGCUUGCGUGGAAACAUGGUUAAGCAAAAAGAAGGAAAAUUCCUGCCAAAAAUUAAAAUGUAUUCACAUGUA